UACCAGCACCCCGAGUGGUCGGGACGUUUAUUGGGCCUAAAGCAUCCGUAGCCGGUUCUACAAGUCUUCCGUUAAAUCCACCUGCUUAACAGAUGGGCUGCGGAGGAUACUAUAGAGCUAGGAGGCGGGAGAGGCAAGCGGUACUCGAUGGGUAGGGGUAAAAUCCGUUGAUCCAUUGAAGACCACCAGUGGCGAAGGCGGCUUGCCAGAACGCGCUCGGACGGUGAGGGAUGAAAGCUGGGGGAGCAAACCGG
rnacentral:rRNA from 1 species